UACAGAGGUGGCAAGCGUUGUUCGGAAUUACUGGGCGUAAAGGGCUCGUAGGCGGCCAACUAAGUCAUACGUGAAAUCCCUCAGCUUAACUGGGGAACUGCGUGUGAUACUGGAUGGCUUGGAUUUGGGAGAGGGAUGCGGAAUUCCAGGUGUAGCGGUGAAAUGCGUAGAUAUCUGGAGGAACACCGGUGGCGAAGGCGGCAUCCUGGACCAAUAUUGACGCUGAGGAGCGAAAGCCAGGGGAGCAAACAGG
rnacentral:rRNA from 1 species